GGAUGUGAGGGUGAUCAGGCUGUGACAUCUGUCACCCCAGUGAUCUCCAGUGUUGAUUCUGAGGAUCUGGCUGGCUAGGCAGGUGUCCCCUUCCUCCCUCACUGCUCCAGGUACAUCCCUCCCAAAACUGCAUGCUCAGUUGAAGAGGACGGUGCCUCCGGACAGAAGAGGACCACAGUGAAUGCUAA
rnacentral:snRNA from 1 species